AAGCAAGGCAUAUUUUCGGUGAAAUCUGCAUAUUAUGCACUCACUCACACACAAUCAGCUAUCUCAACCUCAACUGCAUCAACAUCACACCAAAUUCCUACCUGGUUAUGGCGCUCUAUCUGGAAAAUGCCUACUGCACCCAAAAUCCGAGUAUUUCUAUGGUCCAUCUGCAAUAAUGCCUUGGCGACGAGAGAAAACCUGUAUCGACGACACAUAUUAGACAGUCCUUGCUGCACAUUGUGUAAAAGCAAGACUCUAGAAACUUUAGAGCAUUUACUCUUACUCUGCUCGUGGACUCAACAGGUGUGGAAUCAUCCCCAGAUCCGGAUUUCAAUCCUUCCCAUUAACAUCCACCGUCUGGAUUCAUGGAUCGCUUCUACGAUUGGGACAGGAAAUCAAUUACCUCGGCUGGCCUUUAUUUCUCAUCUUUUGUGGCAAAUCUGGCGCGCUCGGAAUGCUUUCGUCUUCCGAGGUACUUAUCCCAAACCAUCUCAAGUUGUAGAAGCAGCACUGACUGGUGCUCAAGCGGAUCAAUCAUCUUCAGCCUCAAAUCUGCAUCAAAACAGUUUCGUCACAAACCGAUCUCAUCUAUGGCGUCCUCCAGAUCUUGGGGUAUUGAAAGUCAAUAUAGAUGGCUCAUUUCAUCAGGGCAGUAACAAAGGAUUGAUAGCUUGUAUUAGUAGGGAUCAUCAAGGCCGGCUUACCGAUGGGUUUUCCUUAGGGGUAGCGGCCGUCUCUGCUCUUCAGGUUGAGAUUCAAGCUCUAUCUUUCUCGCUUCGCCAUCUUCUGCACCAAGGACUUCAAACAGCAACAGUCGUCGUUGAAUCAGACAACCUUACUCUGGUCGAAACUCUGAACAGCCACUCACAGCCGCCAUGGACGGAUCGCUCUCUCUUCGCAGAGGCAGCUUUCCUCCUAACCCUAUUUCCCAAUCUCACGCUAGGGUUCUGCCGAAGAGAAGCGAAUUCCGUCGCUGACUGGGCUUGCAAGGCCCAUAAUCGUACCUCUUUGACUUGUAAUUGGGCUCUUAAUUCGCCCCCUGCUCUCUUGAACUUGUUAUGCGCUGAUGCACUAGCCGCGGGACGUAAGGGCUUUUCCUCUUA
rnacentral:lncRNA from 1 species